rnacentral:rRNA from 1 species
ACAGCGAUAAGGGAACCUCGAGUGCCAGGUUACAAAUCUGGCUGUCGAGAUGCCUAAAAAGCAUUUCAUAGCAAGGGCCGGGCAAGACCGGUGCCAGCCGCCGCGGUAACACCGGCGGCUCGAGUGGUAACCGUUAUUAUUGGGUCUAAAGGGUCUGUAGCCGGCCGGAUAAGUCUCUUGAGAAAUCCAGCAGCUCAACUGUUGGGCUUUCAGGAGAUACUGUUCGGCUCGAGGCCGGGAGAGGUGAGAGGUACUUCAGGGGUAGGGGUGAAAUCUUGUAAUCCUUGAAGGACCACCAGUGGCGAAGGCGUCUCACCAGAACGGACCUGACGGCAAGGGACGAAAGCUAGGGGCACGAACCGGAUUAGAUACCCGGGUAGUCCUAGCCGUAAACGAUACUCGCUAGGUGUCGGCCACGGUGCGACCGUUGUCGGUGCCGUAGGGAAGCCGUGAAGCGAGC